GGGACCGCGGCGCUUCCGGCGAAUGGCGGGACUGCAGGUGUCCCCACUCCUGGUGCUUCUGCAAGGCACAGCAAGGAGAGCCCCCAGGCCUGGGUCUCCAGAACACCAUGGAGAGGGCUACCCUGAUGGACACACACACAGGCCACACGGGGGCACCCAGAGCCCGGGCUUCUGUCUCCCGCUCUCCUGAGCCUGAGGGUAGAGGCUCAGGCUACCCCGGAGUCCCAGCAGAAGGACCAGAGGCGCCGGGUGCUGGGGAGAGCUGGGCAGGAGCGGCACAGGUGUCUGCUGCAGGCUGUUACUGUCAGCGCUGCCGUGACCCCGCCGGCCACCACCCUGUCCACUCUCAUGCGGCUGUGUACCAUCCAAGCUUCCUUAGGCCUCCAGUCACACGUCUCUGACCCUCUUUUCCAGCCCCCCUGGCACAGGCAUCAGGCGGCAGCCAGGCUUCUGGCUGUGCUGCUUCAGUGGCAGAGCGAGGGGCUCAGAGCACGAAGCCAACGCCAAAGCAGGAGGCUUUGGAAGAAGAAGGGGCAUGCCAUGGAGAGAG